GACGAACGCUGGCGGCGUGCUUUCCUUUGCAAGUCGAACGAUGAAGUUCCUUCGGGAAUGGAUUAGUGGCGAACGGGUGAGGAACACGUGAGAAACCUACCUUUCAUUCUGGAAUAACACCGGGAAACCGGUGCUAAUACCGGAUACUCCGUCUUGGCGGCAUCGCCGAGCCGGGAAAAAAUUUUGAUGAAAGAUGGUCUCGCGGCCUAUCAGCUAGUUGGUGAGGUAAUGGCUCACCAAGGCGACGACGGGUAGCCGGCCCGAGAGGGCGACCGGCCACACUGGGACUGAGACACGGCCCAAACUCCUACGGGAGGCAGCAGUAGGGAAUAUUGGGCAAUGGGCGCAAGCCUGACCCAGCGACGCCGCGUGAGGGAUGAAGGUCUUCGGAUUGUAAACCUCUUUCAGUAGGGAAGAAGCGAAAGUGACGGUACCUAAAGAAGAAGCACCGGCUAACUAUGUG
rnacentral:rRNA from 1 species